rnacentral:rRNA from 1 species
UACGGAGGGGGCUAGCGUUGUUCGGAAUUACUGGGCGUAAAGCGCGCGUAGGCGGAUCUGCAAGUCGGGGGUGAAAUCCCGAGGCUCAACCUCGGAACUGCCUUCGAUACUGCGGGUCUCGAGUCCGGGAGAGGAGAGUGGAAUUCCUGGUGUAGCGGUGAAAUGCGCAGAUAUCAGGAAGAACACCCGUGGCGAAAGCGGCUCUCUGGAACGGUACUGACGCUGAGACGCGAAAGCGUGGGGAGCGAAUAGG